ACUUUUGACUGGUAGUGUAGAUCAAGCUCAUCUAGGAUGAUAUGACAGAGGCAUCACAGUAAAGGGCAAAGCCUUUUCUUCUUUUGAUCAAAGAAGUUCAUCUUGCAGGCAUAGAGAAAAUCUGUUGACCUGGAGAAGUCGGCAUGUUACUUUAAGGAAUGCUGCGUCACUGACGUCAUCACGUUAGAGUUGCUCGUCCAAUCACACGCGUCGUCUCGCAAGAACCGCGCGAUACACGAACAGACAAAGAAGUCGUCUUUGUGAGUUUCUACAAUGGCGGCCCGGUAUCGCCAUUCCGACUCACCACAAACUCCUCGCAUAGAACAGCCUGGACAUGACCGACUGGUUCCAGUCAGACCCGCGACAGACACUGAGAAGAAACUAUUGAGCGUUAUCAGCCGGCUGUCUGGCCAGAGAGGACCGCUGGAGGAGAAGCUGGAGCAGAAGCUGGAGGAGAGGAUAGCCGCCAUGGAAGCCAAAUUAAACACUUUCUCCAGCGGCGAGGAAUUUCAGCGGAAAAGAGGAGAGCACAGUCCUAAAAUUGCGACUGGGCUCACCUCACAAUGAGACAGUCAGGACAUAUUUAGUUAAAACUUUGGCUGAAGUCCAGAUGUGGAGGAUGUGGAGACAGACGUCCUUCUAUCUGAUUGUAAAAAGCAUUUUGAAACUCUACGGAGGAACUACCGCUACAGUCAACCCAACAUGGCGGAUCAGGCGGAGGCCAUGAAGUCUUCUGCCCCGAGUCACCAGAGAAGAAAGAGGCUGCUGGAUGCCAGGAAGACAGUCCUUGCUCCAGAUGAAGAGGACUUCUGGAAGGGCAUCACAGCUGACGAUGUCAGAUGAGGAGGACGGCAGCGUUGACGGGGUGCGUGGAUGGAUAGUACGGCCUCCAUCCUUCCACAGCCAGGAGCUAGCCAACCUGUGUGCAGCCCUACAGGCUGGAGGCUGAUGUAAAGUACACAGCUCUACAUCACAGGCGUUUUCACAAUGGACAGCGGUCUGAUAGACUGAAGCCACUGAAGUACAACACGGCAGCAGCCAGAAAACAUUUUAAGCCAGAGCUGAUGCUUGAGACCAGCCUGGAGUGAGGGAUGAACUUGGUCAAAAUUUUUUUUUCAACAUGUCAUAUUUUUUCCCUUCCAAUAAAUUAAUGUCAUUGAUUGUAGGAUAGCCCAUUGGAUAACAAUAACAAGUAUGCAGGUUAACUAAUUAUACACUAUAUGGCCCAUAUUUAUUAAUGUCUUAUUAAAAUAUUAAUAAUAAUAAUAAGCAUUAUUAUUGUGUGUGACUGGGGGUGAGGAGGUGGGGUGGGUGGGUAGUAGGUUUUCAGUGAUUCACAGGGUCGAUAAUCUGGCUUUUCAUGCAGUGUGUUGUUGUAAACUUCCUCUUUCAAAUAAAUAGCCACCUAACCCCCUGGAAACCAGCGUUUGUCCUGUUUUUGUGUUGUUCCUCGGCGACCCUAGACAGUCAGGUCAUAAUGUUUUUUGAACAACACACCAUACUAAUGACGUUUUUACAGUGAUGGUUCUACUAUGGAACUAGUUUGACAUGUUCAGGUGUUCUUUGUGUGAAAACAGAGAUUUCAGGUAUCAGAAGGUGGUUUUCAACUUUCUUUGUUAACUUUCUGCUUCAACUUUAAACUAAAUUUCCUUCACUAACCCAGCCCUCUGGACUUCCAGUAAGCUGUGUUCCUAUUGGCUGUCCAGGUGGCUGCUUGGUGUUAUCAGGAACACCUGAGCAGCUCAGUGUCUUCCUGCUUUAUUUAGCUGCAGGCAAACAUUUCCUCUGCUUCUCUUGACCACUGAACCGGGUCUGGCUCCGUUGCUUUAGUUCUUUAGGUGUUGGCUUGCAGCUUCCAGCAGUAAAAUCGUCUUUAAUGUGUUUCUUGGUGUGUUUUAGGGCUUUGUACUGGAUAGUUGUCUUGGUAAAUGUGGUUCUUUAGCCACAGUUAGCACAUGGUGCUAAUGUGUGCAGUGAUUAGUGGAUUUGGUACAGCUGAGUUGUGUCUUUAUCUUGGCUGUAGUGAGUCUUUAGAGGUUUUUGGUCAGACACAUUCUGUAUUCUUGUUUAAGAACACCAGCGUUGGUUGUCCAGAAGGUAAGAGUUCCUGUCCUGAUUCUCUGUUCUCAGAGGUUCUCUGGUAGGCUGCAGGAGACUUUAGCGUUUGGGUUGUGCUAGUUUGGUUUUUGUAUGGUUUCAUUUGGACGACUAUCUUGAGGCCCCUCCAUGUGGUUUAGUGAGGUUUUCUGCAACAGUUCUACAAAGCAACCUGCAGCAGAAGAGACUUUGAGAGUUUUUAUGAAGUUCUGGAGAGCAGACUUUAGAGCAGCAGAAACAUUUAUCAGCAGUUUGAGCAGGAGAAGGUGAGCUUCAGAGUAGAAAUGAGACGGAAACCUUCUUGACUCGUGUGGUGAGAUCCUGUACCAAGAGUUUGAGCAGGUUGUGAAGAGUCUGUAGUUCUUUGGUCUGAAAGCACAAGAAGAGUCGACUCAUUAAAGGAGAAAACAGGAGAUAUUGUUGGUUCUUCUGUCACUCUGCAGUUUCCUUAGACUAAAUAUCAAGUUUAUAUUUUAAGUGAUGUGAGCCCAAGAAGACUUCAAUAAACUCCCUCCAUCCCCUGGACACAACAUAUUUUAUUACUAUGUUAAAUCUUUUUUUAAAAAAAUGUUUUGGAGUUUUAGUCAUAGUUUUAGAAUAGUUUUUUGUCUUUCCUUGUUUAGUGUUGUCAUCUGUGUGAAAAGCGCUAAACAAAUAAAGCUGAAUUGAUAAACUGAAUAA